rnacentral:lncRNA from 1 species
GCGUACCCAUACUACCACCGAGUUGAAAGAAGCCUUAGAAGGAUGCCAUGGUGGCAAAGAUACCAUUGAUGAACCAGGGAGGUAGCUUACCAGAAUAAUCAUAUGAUGAAGUUAACAAGGAAAUAGUCCUUCUUCCCUAAAGCAAUUAGUUGCCGGCUGAUUACAAGGGACCCAGAUGGUUUCCAGUAAAUAUUGGUAAGCAACUGUAAGUAUACGAUUGUUGUCCUUAUGUGAAUGGAUGAUGGAGAUGUUUGGUCUGAUGGGUAGUUGCAAAUCCUCCAUAUAUGUGGUUCAAGGAAGGCGGCGUAGUUACCAAAUACUUCCCGUAGAUAAAGAUUCAUCACUUACAGAAUGGAAGAAGCGAUCUUCUUGCUGCUCCUGACCUGAGAGAGAGGUGAGGAGUAACUCAUUUCUUUAUCACAUGCAUAACUCUUCUUACCAUACCAUGCUUGAGAAGUAGGAGGUAGAGUUUCAUCAUCCAUCAUUAAUUAAUUAAUGAAUGCCCUCCUGAUUCCUGUGAUUUUUCUAUGGGUGUCUUUCAACAAUGCCGAGUGGUCCCCCAUCUCUGUCUCUUCGCAACUCAUCCCUUCCUUGCCACAUUAGCUGUUUGCAUGCACACUUUUUCUACUUAAUUAUUAUUAAUUACUAGAUUAUAUUGCAUUGGUGAAUGAGAUCUUCG